rnacentral:rRNA from 1 species
GUCGAACGGGAUAGAACUUAGCAAUAGGUUCUUGAGAGUGGCGCACGGGUGCGUAACACGUAUGCAACCUACCUUUAACUGGGGGAUAGCCUCUCGAAAGAGAGAUUAAUACCCCAUAGUAUAAUUAGAGAGCAUUUUCUGAUUAUUAAAGAUUUAUCGGUUAAAGAUGGGCAUGCGGCUGAUUAGGUAGUUGGUGAGGUAAUGGCUCACCAAGCCAACGAUCAGUAGGGGGUCUGAGAGGAUGUCCCCCCACACUGGUACUGAGACACGGACCAGACUCCUACGGGAGGCAGCAGUAGGGAAUAUUGGACAAUGGGGGCAACCCUGAUCCAGCCAUUCCGCGUGCAGGAAUAAGGCCCUAUGGGUCGUAAACUGCUUUUGUAUGGGAAAAAUCAUCUUACGUGUAGGGUGUUGAUGGUACCAUGAGAAUAAGGAUCGGCUAACUUCGUGCCAGCAGCCGCGGUAAUACGAAGGAUCCAAGCGUUGUCCGGAUUUACUGGGUUUAAAGGGUGCGUAGGCGGGGAAUUAAGUCAGUGGUGAAAGCUGGUAGCUCAACUAUCAAAUUGCCAUUGAAACUGAUUCUCUCGAGUACGGUUGAGGUAGCUGGAAUGUAACAUGUAGCGGUGAAAUGCUUAGAUAUGUUACAGAACACCGAUUGCGAAGGCAGGCUACUAAACCGUAACUGACGCUGAGGCACGAAAGCGUGGGGAUCAAACAGGAUUAGAUACCCUGGUAGUCCACGCUGUAAAC